rnacentral:rRNA from 1 species
ACAUGCCUACAACUUAGCGUUAAUGCAUCGGAUCACAAUAGAACUUUGCAGUUAAGCGCACUCGGGCUAGAGUAGUACUGGGAUGGGUGACCGCUUGGGAAGUCCUAGUAUUUUACAUACC